CACCCGUUCCCAUCCCGAACACGGAAGUUAAGCUCUCCAGCGCCGAUGGUAGUUGGGGCCAGCGCCCCUGCAAGAGUAGGACGUUGCUAGGC
rnacentral:rRNA from 1 species